GAUGAACGCUGGCGGCGUGCCUAAUACAUGCAAGUCGAGCGAACAGACGAGGAGCUUGCUCCUCUGACGUUAGCGGCGGACGGGUGAGUAACACGUGGAUAACCUACCUAUAAGACUGGGAUAACUUCGGGAGACCGGAGCUAAUACCGGAUAAUAUAUUGAACCGCAUGGUUCAAUAGUGAAAGACGGUUUUGCUGUCACUUAUAGAUGGAUCCGCGCCGCAUUAGCUAGUUGGUAAGGUAACGGCUUACCAAGGCAACGAUGCGUAGCCGACCUGAGAGGGUGAUCGGCCACACUGGAACUGAGACACGGUCCAGACUCCUACGGGAGGCAGCAGUAGGGAAUCUUCCGCAAAGGGCGAAAGCUUGACGGAGCAACGCCGCGUGAGUGAUGAAGGUCUUCGGAUCGUAAAACUCUGUUAUUAGGGAAGAACAAAUGUGUAAGUAACUAUGCACGUCUUGACGGUACCUAAUCAGAAAGCCACGGCUAACUACGUG
rnacentral:rRNA from 1 species